AACCGUAGCUGGCAAAAGGUUGCAGUAUUCUAGUCAACCCUUUUGGUGUCGAAGACGGGCCUAAAAAUCCGUUAAGGGCACAUCGAUGAAGCUUCUGGUACUGGCUUUUGACGCCCAGUCAGGGGUCAGUGCUGGGAGUUAAGAAUAUAGGGGCAAUCCGCAAUGGCAUGCGGACAUGACCCCUAUGUUCGCGGAGGCUCAUCACCGCAAGGUGGUGAGAAAACCUGCAUUCGGUUAAAGCUGGGUGCAGUGUAGCCUGCCUUGAGUGGUGGCGGCGGAUAAACCUGGUAGGUGGCAGUAUCUUGGCCAGGAUACUGCUGCCUGUUUUGAAACCGUCUGCUGCAAAAGAGGCUAGACACCAAGUAGGGUUGUUGAGGAAAACUCCUAGACUGUGCGCAUUUUUGCGCGGUUUAUCGAGGAUUAAAGUGCGUACUUAGUGGUAAUCCAGUCUCACUUGCGGUGACGCGGUGAAGCGGGCAUAAAGGGAAACCGCCCAUUUGGCAACAAAUGGGAGACCCGCUGGGAAAACCUACUGGACCUAUGUCGCAGCGUUUACUCGAUAAACAACCUUUUGCCAGAACCGUUUU
rnacentral:sRNA from 1 species